rnacentral:rRNA from 1 species
AACGAACGCUGGCGGCAUGCCUAACACAUGCAAGUCGAACGCCCCGCAAGGGGAGUGGCGGACGGGUGAGUAACACGUAGGUAACCUGCCCCCCAGUCUGGAACAACUAGAGGAAACUCUAGCUAAUGCCGGAUGAGACCACGAUCCCUUCGGGGGUUGCGGCCAAAGAUGGCCUCUACUUGUAAGCUAUCGCUGAGGGAUGGGCCUGCGGGCCAUUAGCUUGUUGGUGAGGUAACGGCUCACCAAGGCUGUGAUGGCUAGCUGGUCUGAGAGGAUGACCAGCCACACUGGGACUGAGACACGGCCCAGACUCCUACGGAGGCAGCAGUGGGGAAUAUUGCGCAAUGGGCGAAAGCCUGACGCAGCGACGCCGCGUGGGUGAUGAAGGCCUCGGUCGGU